ensembl:lncRNA
CUUUCACACACAUUGACAGCAAUAACGGGAACUAUAUAAGGCUGCUAUUUAUUGACUAUAGCUCAGCUUUCAAUACUAUAGUCCCCAUAAAGCUAGCUUCUAAACUCAUAGACCUCGGCCUGAAUUCUUCACUCUGCAACUGGAUUCAAGACUUCCUCACCAGCAGACCUCAAGUGGUGAAAGUAGGCCAGUUCAUCUCCAGCUCCAUCACCCUGAAUGUAGGAGCCCCACAGGGCUGUGUCCUGAGUCCCCUGCUCUACGCUCUCUACACACAUGACUGCGUGUCUUCCCACAGCUCCACAUCUAUUAUCAAAUUUGCUGAUGAUACUGUGGUUCUGGGCCUCAUUCACAACAAUAAUGAGACUGCAUACUUGGAUGAGGUAGAGAAACUAACAUCAUGGUGCCAGGACAAUUGUCUCUCUCUGAAUGUGAGCAAAACUAAAGAGCUGAUUGUUGACUUCAGGAAGAGACAGCAGCGGCCCUAUACUCCUCUUAUGGUCAGCGGGACCCCUGUGGAGAGGGUGAGCAGCUUCAAGUACCUUGGUGUAAACAUCUCGGAGGACCUGACUUGGACUACACACAUCCAAACACAGGUUAAUAAAGCCAGACAAAGACUGUACCAUCUGCGACAGCUGAGGAAAUUCAGGGUUUUGCCAGCAAUCCUGAAAACUUUCUAUUCAGGGGCCAUAGAAAUGUAUUGACUCAGUGUAUCUCAGUGUGGUAGGGGAACAGCUCCAGUCAAGACUGCAAAGCCCUGCAGAGAGUUGUGCGCUUAGCAGAGCGCAUCUCAGGGUCUGCUCUCCCCUCUCUGCGGGACAUCUACCUCAGUACCAGUAACCCCAGUAACCAUCUUUUCACUUUGCUGCUAUCUGGUAAGCGCUUCCGUAGCCUGAUGGCAAAAACCGAGAGACUUAGGAGGAGUUUCUUCCCCCAGGCCAUCAGGCUCCUAAACUCAAAAUCAGCCUCUAAACAUCUACAUGUCUCCACUUAAUAUCCACUUAAUCAGUAAGAUAUUCAUCAUUCUCUA